UACAGAGGGGGCAAGCGUUAUUCGGAAUUAUUGGGCGUAAAGAGCUUGUAGGCGGUUUGUCGCGUCUGCUGUGAAAAUCCGGGGCUCAACCCCGGACUUGCAGUGGGUACGGGCAGACUGGAGUGUGGUAGGGGAGACUGGAAUUCCUGGUGUAGCGGUGGAAUGCGCAGAUAUCAAGGAGGAACACCGAUGGCGAAGGCAGGUCUCUGGGCCACUACUGACGCUGAGAAGCGAAAGCAUGGGGAGCGAACAGG
rnacentral:rRNA from 1 species